rnacentral:rRNA from 1 species
UCGACUGUUUACCAAAAACAUAGCCAAUAGAAACAAUUAUUAUUGGUGAUGCCUGCUCAAUGAUCAAACAUAAAACAUAAAAAAAUUAAAUAGCUGCGGUAACACCUGACCGUGCAAAGGUAGCACAAUAAAUUGCCUACUAAUUAUAGGAUAGAAUGAAGGUAACACGAAGACCCAACUGUCUCAAAAACAUAAAAUAUAAAAUAGAAUGUGUGUGCAAAUCCACACCAAAACGGCAAGACGACAAGACCCUAAGAACUUUACUAAAAACUUAAAAACUACAAAUAUAAGACCCUAAGUUUCGUUGGGGCAACGGUCUUUAAAAAAGUAACUAAGACUAACUACAAUCAACAAUCAACAAGAUAAGACCCAUUAACAAACCCAAUUAAUGCUAACAAAAUAAAAGUUCCCUAGGGAUAACAGCGUUAUAUCGUUCUCAGAAAUUUCCAAACGAUGUUUGCGACCUCGAUGGUUUGAAUUA